CUCCUCUUGAAAUAUAAGAGGUACCGUCUGCUCAAUGCAAUUUGUAAAUAGCCGCAGUAUUCUGACUGUGCUAAGGUAGCAUAAUCAUUAGUCUUUUAAUUGGAGGCUGGUAUGAAUGACGAGACGAGAAAAUAGCUGUCUCCAUAAUAAAUUUUGAAUUUUAUUUUUAAGUGAAAAAGCUUAAAUAAUUUUGAAGGACGAUCAGACCCUUUGGAGCUUUAUUUAUUUUUGAGUUUAAAUUUAUUUAAGAUGAUUGAACGAAGAAUAAAUUUUGUUGGGGCGACAGGGAGUAAAAAAUAACACUCUUUUUUAAAAACAGUUUUAAUUGAAAAAUUGAUCCUUAUAGAGAGAUUAAAGACUAAGUUACCCUAGGGAUAACAGCGUAAUCUUUUUGGAGAGUUCAAAUCGAUAAAAAGGUUUGCGACCUCGAUGUUGGAUUAAGAGAUUAACAAGGUGCAGAAGUUUUGUUGGAGAGUCUGUUCGACUCU
rnacentral:rRNA from 1 species